rnacentral:rRNA from 1 species
AUUGAACGCUGGCGGCAGGCAUAACACAUGCAAGUCGAGCGAGCGGGGGACGGGGGAGUAAUGUAUGGGGACUGCCCGAUAGAGGGGGAUAACUACUGGAAACGGUAGCUAAUACCGCAUACUAUCGGAUAACCCAUAUGGGAUUAGCUAGUAGGUGAGGUACUGGCUCACCUAGGCGACGAUCCCUAGCUGGUCUGAGAGGAUGUUCAGCCACCCUGUGACUGGUACCCGGCCCAGACUCCUCUGGGGGCAGCAUUGGGGAAUAUUGCACAAUGGGCGCAAUCCUGAUGCAGCCAUGCCGCGGGUAUGACGAAGGCCCUAGGGUUGGAAAGUACUUUCAGUCGGGAGGCGUUACCGACAGAAGAAGCACCGGCUAACUCCGUGCCAGCCGCCGCGGUAAUUC